rnacentral:rRNA from 1 species
CCUACGGGAGGCAGCAGUAGGGAAUUUUGGACAAUGGGCGAAAGCCUGAUCCAGCAAUGCCGCGUGCAGGAAGAAGGCCUUCGGGUUGUAAACUGCUUUUGUACGGAACGAAACGGUCUGCUUUAAUACAGUGGGCUAAUGACGGUACCGUAAGAAUAAGCACCGGCUAACUACGUGCCAGCAGCCGCGGUAAUACGUAGGGUGCGAGCGUUAAUCGGAAUUACUGGGCGUAAAGCGUGCGCAGGCGGUUAUAUAAGACAGUUGUGAAAUCCCCGGGCUCAACCUGGGAAUUGCAUCUGUGACUGUAUAGCUAGAGUACGGUAGAGGGGGAUGGAAUUCCGCGUGUAGCAGUGAAAUGCGUAGAUAUGCGGAGGAACACCGAUGGCGAAGGCAAUCCCCUGGACCUGUACUGACGCUCAUGCACGAAAGCGUGGGGAGCAAACAGGAUUAGAUACCCUGGUAGUCCACGCCCUAAACGAUGUCAACUGGUUGUUGGGUGCAUUAGUACUCAGUAACGAAGCUAACGCGUGAAGUUGACCGCCUGGGGGAGGACGGCCGGCGAGUUAGAACGUACGAAGUUAGAAGUUGAGGCGNGAGAGNGCCGACGGACGACGACGAGGGAGGAGG